rnacentral:lncRNA from 1 species
CAGAUGAUGAAACUGAGGGUCCAAAGGGAGUAAAAAGCAAUCAAGCCCCCAUGGAGUCUUAUUGGGCAGAAACAGAGAAAAGAAAGAAGAAAAAGAAAUGAAAAUAUCCUGAAAAUCCAACUUGAAAAUUGCCUAGGAAUGACCUGCACAACUUAAAAAACCAUAAAGAAAUCAGACAAAUCAUAAAGAAAAUCCAUGCAGUUUUAAUGGAAAUUGUGUUUGAAUUCAUUGGCUUAACAAAUUAAGAGUGUCAGAGUACUGGUCUUCAAAUCAAAUCAUCUGGGUUCUAGUCCUGGCUCCAGCACUUAGCUAGGUGACCUUGGGUUGUGCCACUUAGAUAAGUGAGCUUCAGCUUUGAGCUUCAGCUCCUCAUCUGAAAAGUUAGGAUGAUGAUAUCGUGUUACCUCUUCCAUAGAGUUGUUUCAAGGAA